AAACCCAGCCGUGGAGCGCGUUCGAGUGCGAAUGUUGGCAUGAGUAGCGAAUGAGGGGUGAGAACCCCCUCCGCCGUAUGUCCAAGGGUUCCUGGGCGAGGCCAAUGCUCCCAGGGUGAGUCGGGAGCUAAGGCGAGGCCGAGAGGCGUAGUCGAUGCACAACUGGUUGAUAUUCCAGUACCACCAUGUUCGCGUCCGUCCCAAUACUCUGUUGCUAAGGGGCUGUGUUGACUUCGGUCAACGCGAACCGACCCACAUUGUUGCGGGAAGCUGUAGGGGGACGCAGGAAGGUAGAUGAACCCGGUGAAUGGUAGAACCGGGGUAAGCGUGUAGGAGGAGGACCAGGUAAAUCCGGGCCUCAUAAACUCUGAGACGUGAUACCGAGCCGCUUCAGGCGAAGUCAUUGAUCCUAUGCUGCCUAGAAAAGCCCAGCAGCGAGUUGACAUGGUGCCCGUACCCCAAACCAACACAGGUGGACAGGUAGAGCAUACCAAGGCGAGUGGGAUAACUAUGGUUAAGGAACUCGGCAAAUUGCCUCCGUAACUUCGGGAGAAGGAGGACCCCAGUAGCGUGAUGAGACUUGCUCUCUGAGCGUGAAGGGGUGGCACAAAAUUGAGGGAAGCGACUGUUUACCAAAAACACAGCAGCGUGCUAAGCCGUAAGGCGCUGUAUACGCUGUGACUCCUGCCCGGUGCUGGAAGGUUACGGGGAUGGGUUAGUCCUUCGGGACGAAGCUCUGAACCUAAGCCCCAGUAAACGGCGGCCGUAACUAUAACGGUCCUAAGGUAGCGAAAUUCCUUGUCGGGUAAGUUCCGACCUGCACGAAUGGAGUAACGACUUCCCUACUGUCUCAACCAUAGACCCAGCGAAAUUGAAGUACGAGUAAAGAUGCUCGUUAGCUGCAGAAGGACGGAAAGACCCCGUGGACCUUUACUAUAACUUGAUGUUGUGUUUUGUCAUAUGUUGUGUAGGAUAGGUGGGAGACUUGGAAGCAUGGACGCUAGUCUGUGUGGAGUCAUCGUUGAAAUACCACCCUGCAUAUGGUGAGGCUCUAACCUAGACCCGUUAUCCGGGUUGGGGACAGCGUCAGGCGGGUAGUUUAACUGGGGCGGUUGCCUCCUAAAGAGUAACGGAGGCGCCCAAAGGUUCCCUCAGCCUGGUUGGCAAUCAGGCGUUGAGUGCAAUGGCAAAAGGGAGCUUGACUGCGAGACCUACAAGUCGAGCAGGAGCGAAAGCUGGGCAUAGUGAUCCGGCGGUUGCGUGUGGAAGCGCCGUCGCUCAACGGAUAAAAGGUACCCCGGGGAUAACAGGCUAAUCUUGCCCAAGCGUCCAUAGCGACGGCAAGGUUUGGCACCUCGAUGUCGGCUCAUCGCAUCCUGGGGCUGAAGCAGGUCCCAAGGGUUGGGCUGUUCGCCCAUUAAAGCGGUACGCGAGCUGGGUUCAGAACGUCGUGAGACAGUUCGGUCCCCAUCCUCUGCAGCCGGAGGUGAAUUGAGGAAAGCUGUCCCUAGUACC
rnacentral:rRNA from 1 species